rnacentral:rRNA from 2 species
ACAGUGGACGCGAGCAUCUGUGGCCAAGUUUUUAAGGGCGCACGGUGGAUGCCUUGGCACCAGGAACCGAUGAAGGACGUGGGAGGCCACGAUAGUCCCCGGGGAGUCGUCAACCAGGCUUUGAUCCGGGGGUUUCCGAAUGGGGAAACCCGGCAGUCGUCAUGGGCUGUCACCCUUGCCUGAACACAUAGGGCAAGUGGAGGGAACGCGGGGAAGUGAAACAUCUCAGUACCCGCAGGAAGAGAAAACAACCGUGAUUCCGGGAGUAGUGGCGAGCGAAACCGGAUGAGGCCAAACCGUAUGCGUGUGAGACCCGGCAGGGGUUGCGUAUACGGGGUUGUGGGAUCUCUCUUUCACAGUCUGCCGGCUGUGAGACGAGUCAGAAACCGUUGAUGUAGGCGAAGGACAUGCGAAAGGUCCGGCGUAGAGGGUAAGACCCCCGUAGCUGAAACAUCAGCGGCUCGUUUGAGAGACACCCAAGUAGCACGGGGCCCGAGAAAUCCCGUGUGAAUCUGGCGGGACCACCCGCUAAGCCUAAAUAUUCCCUGGUGACCGAUAGCGGAUAGUACCGUGAGGGAAUGGUGAAAAGUACCGCGGGAGCGGAGUGAAAUAGUACCUGAAACCGUGUGCCUACAAGCCGUGGGAGCGUCGCGCAUUGAGUUUACUCAAUGCGUCGUGACUGCGUGCCUUUUGAAGAAUGAGCCUGCGAGUUUGCGGUGUGUUGCGAGGUUAACCCGGGUGGGGUAGCCGUAGCGAAAGCGAGUCCGAACAGGGCGUUUCAGUAGCACGCUCAAGACCCGAAGCGGAGUGAUCUAGCCAUGGGCAGGUUGAAGCGGAGGUAAGACUUCGUGGAGGACCGAACCCACCAGGGUUGAAAACCUGGGGGAUGACCUGUGGUUAGGGGUGAAAGGCCAAUCAAACUCCGUGAUAGCUGGUUCUCCCCGAAAUGCAUUUAGGUGCAGCGUCGUGUGUUUCUUGCCGGAGGUAGAGCACUGGAUAGGCGAUGGGCCCUACCGGGUUACUGACCUUAGCCAAACUCCGAAUGCCGGUAAGUGAGAGCGCGGCAGUGAGACUGUGGGGGAUAAGCUCCAUGGUCGAGAGGGAAACAGCCCAGAGCAUCGACUAAGGCCCCUAAGCGUACGCUAAGUGGGAAAGGAUGUGGAGUCGCAGAGACAACCAGGAGGUUGGCUUAGAAGCAGCCACCCUUGAAAGAGUGCGUAAUAGCUCACUGGUCUAGUGAUUCCGCGCCGACAAUGUAGCGGGGCUCAAGCGUACCGCCGAAGUCGUGUCAUUCCAGCGUAUAGGGCCAACGCCUGCUGGGAUGGGUAGGGGAGCGUCGUGUGCCGGGUGAAGCCGCGCCGGAAGGCAGUGGUGGACGGUUCACGAGUGAGAAUGCAGGCAUGAGUAGCGAUACAAACGUGAGAAACGUUUGCGCCGAUUGACCAAGGGUUCCUGGGUCAAGCUGAUCUGCCCAGGGUAAGUCGGGACCUAAGGCGAGGCCGACAGGCGUAGUCGAUGGAUAACCGGUUGAUAUUCCGGUACCCGCUGUGAAGCGUCAAACAUCGAACCAGGCGAUGCUAAGUCCGUGAAGCCGCCCCGGAGCCUUCGGGCAAAGGGGAGUGGUGGAGCCGACGAACCAGACUUGCAGUAGGUGAGUGAUGGGGUGACGCAGGAAGGUAGUCCAUCCCGGGCGGUGGUUGUCCCGGGGUAAGGGUGUAGGCCGUGCGAUAGGUAAAUCCGUCGCACUUGUGGCUGAGACCUGAUGCCGAGCCGAUUGUGGUGAAGUGGAUGAUCCUAUGCUGUCGAGAAAAGCCUCUAGCGAGUUUCAUGGCGGCCCGUACCCUAAACCGACUCAGGUGGUCAGGUAGAGAAUACCGAGGCGUUCGGGUGAACUAUGGUUAAGGAACUCGGCAAAAUGCCCCCGUAACUUCGGGAGAAGGGGGGCCAUCACCGGUGAUAGCACUUGCUGCUUGAGCUGGGGGUGGCCGCAGAGACCAGCGAGAAGCGACUGUUUACUAAAAACACAGGUCCGUGCGAAGCCGUAAGGCGAUGUAUACGGACUGACGCCUGCCCGGUGCUGGAACGUUAAGGGGACCGGUUAGUCACUCUUCGGGGUGGCGAAGCUGAGAACUUAAGCGCCAGUAAACGGCGGUGGUAACUAUAACCAUCCUAAGGUAGCGAAAUUCCUUGUCGGGUAAGUUCCGACCUGCACGAAUGGCGUAACGACUUCUCGACUGUCUCAACCAUAGGCCCGGUGAAAUUGCACUACGAGUAAAGAUGCUCGUUUCGCGCAGCAGGACGGAAAGACCCCGGGACCUUUACUACAGUUUGAUAUUGGUGUUCGGUUCGGCUUGUGUAGGAUAGCUGGGAGACUGUGAAGCUCGGACGCCAGUUCGGGUGGAGUCGUCGUUGAAAUACCAGUCUGGUCGUGCUGGAUGUCUAACCUGGGUCCGUGAUCCGGAUCAGGGACAGUGUCUGAUGGGUAGUUUAACUGGGGCGGUUGCCUCCCAAAGGGUAACGGAGGCGCCCAAAGGUUCCCUCAGCCUGGUUGGCAAUCAGGUGGUGAGUGUAAGUGCACAAGGGAGCUUGACUGUGAGACCGACGGGUCGAGCAGGGACGAAAGUCGGGACUAGUGAUCCGGCGGUGGCUUGUGGAAGCGCCGUCGCUCAACGGAUAAAAGGUACCCCGGGGAUAACAGGCUGAUCUUCCCCAAGAGUCCAUAUCGACGGGAUGGUUUGGCACCUCGAUGUCGGCUCGUCGCAUCCUGGGGCUGGAGUCGGUCCCAAGGGUUGGGCUGUUCGCCCAUUAAAGCGGUACGCGAGCUGGGUUUAGAACGUCGUGAGACAGUUCGGUCCCUAUCCGCUGCGCGCGCAGGAAUAUUGAGAAGGGCUGUCCCUAGUACGAGAGGACCGGGACGGACGAACCUCUGGUGUGCCAGUUGUUCUGCCAAGGGCAUGGCUGGUUGGCUACGUUCGGGAGGGAUAACCGCUGAAAGCAUCUAAGCGGGAAGCCUGCUUCGAGAUGAGUAUUCCCACCCACUUGAUGGGGUAAGGCUCCCAGUAGACGACUGGGUUGAUAGGCCAGAUAUGGAAGCCCAGUAAUGGGUGGAGUUGACUGGUACUAAUAGGCCGAGGGCUUGUCCUCAGUUG